rnacentral:rRNA from 1 species
UACGGAGGGAGCUAGCGUUGUUCGGAAUUACUGGGCGUAAAGCGUACGUAGGCGGUUAUUCAAGUCAGAGGUGAAAGCCCGGGGCUCAACCCCGGAACUGCCUUUGAAACUAGAUAGCUAGAAUCUUGGAGAGGUCAGUGGAAUUCCGAGUGUAGAGGUGAAAUUCGUAGAUAUUCGGAAGAACACCAGUGGCGAAGGCGACUGACUGGACAAGCAUUGACGCUGAGGUACGAAAGCGUGGGGAGCAAACAGG